rnacentral:lncRNA from 1 species
UAAGUCUUACUUUAAUUAGACCACAUGCAUAAAAGUUAUAGAAUAGCAUAUCUUGUUUAUUUCUUACUCACCUUCAUUAAACCUAUAUGAAAUGUACAACCAAUGCAAGUAGUGUGAUGCAAUGAAAACCCAGACAACUUGCUAAUAAGGACGGACACAUUUUAUUGAUCAACAUAGUUCAUUUGAUGCUCAAUCAACCAAUGUGGCCAAUGCUUUCAAGUGUAAGGUUAGCACCUUAAGUGUGGGAGCAGCCGUCCAGACAUCAAACACUGGUGGCACCCAAAAAAACGCCCCUCUCUGGUGAGCCCAAGAAAUAGUGGCAAAGCACCAACCAGUGGUAAACUGGUAACAAUGCGGCCCUACAGGGGUAGUGACAGUGGUCAUUGGCCCCCAUAGAUGCAGCCCUAUAGGGGUGAAACUGGAGUUCGUGGCUUUCUCUCUAUCAGUUUGCUGAGAGCUCAGUACCAUGGGGCAGUCUUCCUCACCUGCAAAAUUUUCAUUAAUCAAUGGUUAUGGUUCUGUUAGUAAUGGAACAAAGUUAAUGCCAUUGACACGUGUAGUCUAAACCUUGCUCUUUUUUUCUUUUCUUUUUUUUUUUGGCUUGCCAGGAUGGCCGCAUUGACUAUGGAGAGUUUGUUGCCAUGAUGACCAAGGGCAACAUGGGAGUGGGUCGAAGAACAAUGAGAAACAGCCUGAAUAUCAGCAUGAGGGACGCACCUGGUGCUUUCUGAGACUUAACACGAUGUACAGCUUGUGGCUUAGCUACUUCCUCUGUCUUGCUGCCCUACGAAACCGUCUGCGAUUUUUCAAGAUGUUGUCAAGUGUCUGUGUGGAUGUGUUUUUCUGGGGAUUCUGAUUGAACUCUUGUG